CGGUAGAUUACUUUUUUUCUAAUUUAUUCUUUUUUAUAAAAAAUUAUAUAUAAUUUUUUAUAAAAAGAAACUAUUAGUAGGUAAUAUUUAUUAAGAGUUUAAUGUAUAUUAAUUUAAGUUUAGAAAUAAUUUUCUAAUUUUUGUGCCAGAAGUUUCGGUUAAUCAAAUAAUUGUUGAAUAAAUAAGGUCAAAAUUUUAGUUAAAAUUGUUAUAAAUUAUUUAAAAUUAUUUAUAUAUAGUAAAAUAAAAAUAAUAAAUUUUAUUUUUUAAUUUUUUUGAGGCUAAGAAAUUUUAUAUAUUAUUAACUAGGAUUAGAUACCCUAUUAAUUAAUAAAAAAUGAUUUUUAUAAAUGUCCAAGUAAAAAAAAAUUUAGUUUUUAAAUCUAAGAAAAUGGCGGCAUUUUAAUUUAUUAGGGGGUUUUGUUUUAUAUAGAAAGUACUCAAAAUACCUUAUUUUAUAUUCACUUAUUUAUUUCCGGUUUUAAUUUUUUUAUAAAAUUUUUAUAAUUAAAUAACUUUAUUAUCAGGUCAAUAUAUAGUUUAUUAUAAAUUUUAAAUGAAAUACAUUUAUUUAAUUAUUAAAUUUUUAUUUUAAAUAAAUUUUAGUUUAUAGAACUUAAAAGUAAUUACUAUUAAAUUAGAAUAAAUUUUUGAAUUUAAAUUAUUUUGUGUACAAAUUGCCCGUCAUUCUUAAUAGUUUAAGACAAGUCGAAACAUAGUAAAUGUAUUGGAAAAUGUAUUUAGAAAAUA
rnacentral:rRNA from 1 species